UACCUUUUUCAUGCGGACACCUUUCAAACUCAUUUCAAGUUGGUUAUCCAGGUUCUGUAGAUCUUUGACACUUAAACCAGAUAGUUCUUCUCCCAUCAAUUUCCUGCAACACAUCACAGUGACCAUUUGUGUAUCUUAUGGCAUGGAAAAUCCCAUAUGUCAUGUUUUAAAGGUUCUUAUCUACUAUCAAGAGUGUCCUUUGAAGAACUUUGUUAGUAAGAGUGUUUUUUAAGUGAUACCAUUUUUAAUAUCAUGUUAUGUAUGUCAAUAGUAGAUACAGUUGCUGUUGAUUUUGUGUUUUAUGCUAUCUAGUCCUUGAAAAUUACUGUUUGGUUUGUUUUAAAAUUAUACAUGAGAUCAUUAUCUUAGGAUGUAGAUUUUGGCAACAGUGCUGCAACAGAUCAGAUCCAUCGGCAAUUGAUGAAGAUGGGAGACAAGUUUGGGAUUGGGCAACGGGCUUGAGUUUUCCUAAGUGCAGUGUAUGCAAACAGAAAGGCAUUAGCUCUAGGCCUUACUUUGGUGCAAGCAGAUUUUUAUGCUAUGCACUAUAGGAUAGGGAUUGUUCUUUUUCUUUGUGGGGCAGCAUCUAUAUCUUAAUGGUAGUUUGUGGAAAAUGAGAAGCUGAGGUCCCUAAGUGACUAUCGAAGAUUGGAAGAUAAUGGAUUUCCUAUUAUCCGGCAGCAUUACUUUCCUUGCAAUGGUCUUUGUCUUCCCUUCCAUGCUUCACUUGAUGAUAACAAGGUAAUCCAGGUUUGUUUCUUCUGUUUCUCUUUCUUUUCUUCGAUGGUCCUCCUUCAGAAAGAAUGUUGAAUAUGAAUGUCAGCAUCACAUGGGCAUGGUUUCUGUGUUUUGUUGGCUGAUUUAUCCAAUUUAUGCCUACGUUUUGUAGUUUUCCAUGUACCUAUUGCUAUUCUACUAAGAAAGUUGAGACCUCCCUGGGGUUAGGAAAAUUCCUUUUGACUUUUGAGGCAUGAAGUCACAAUGUUAGAAGGUUUCUUUGGAACCGUAAAAUCUAAAACCCAUGUAGAUGAUCUCACUCAUCAGCCGUACUGCUACUAAAGAUUAAAAACACCUCAGUCUUUCUGGCGUACGCUGAUGUUUAUUAGACCUUUUACCAAGACAGUAACUUGCUACUUCGCCACCUCAACCGGUGUUAUGCUCAAGAAUAAUGAAAAAUUCAGUUGGAAAAAAUUGAAAAAACCUCAGUGAUGGCUGACUGCUUAAUCUAAGCAUUGUGAGACAUGCAAAAAUAUUGGGUUAACCAAGAAGUGAAGUUGAACGGUGCACUGAGACAAAAGUCGUUUAUAUUGUAGGGUUUAUAUUUUUAAUUUAAAAGGUAUGCCUACUAGGAAGAUAAAAGUCUUUAUUUAUAAGUUUAAAAUUUAUUUCUUUUCUUACUUGCAUGAUAUUUAUGUAAAUUUUUUUGUUGUAUUUGUUUUUAUUUGUAGAGGAAAGAUUCACUUUAGUUUGAGUUUUAUCUCGAUUUUGGUAUCUUUUAUGAGGAGUCUUACGUUAGUGAAGUGAGGGUCUAAUAUCAUUUGUCUCGAGGUUAUACUUUUAACUUAAAAAACAUGCUUAUUAAUUGAAGAAAAGUUUCGUAAAUUUAAGAUAUUUUUUUUUCAUUAUUUAUUGAUGUGAAAUUUUUGAUGCAUAGAGAUAUUUUUAAAAAUUGAAUUAUGGAUGUCUACAUUGUACAUAGGGAUUAGGGAGUGUUAAUCGUACAUGUCUUCUAUGCUGCAUUGCCUGGUUUGAUGAUAUUCAUUCCUUGAAUAGCUAUGGUAAGGUGUUUUCCCCGUUCUCUCUUAACUCUAUCACUAAACCAAUCGAAGCUUAAACAAGCUAAACUCUCAAGCUGUUAGCCAAUUACUCCAUUAUAUUCAAGAAUAUUUUAGUAAUAUUCGUAACGCUUGCCUAACAGAAAGCAACCAAAAGUUGACAUGAUGAAUGCAUGCACACUGCAAACAGUAAUACAGUAAGAUUUAUGAAGUAAAUUGAAGCAAUUGAUGGAUCAAAUUACCUUGACUUCUGAAGCAGGAUUCAUCAAUUGAUGAUAUUCUUCUUUUUGCUUCUUGUAGCGUUCGAUAACAGAUUUCAUGCUGAUAAAAUGAACAAAACGUCAGUAUUCCAAUUCUGUCAUGGCACUUCAUAAUUUUUGCUACAAUUUAUGAAUAUGAAACUAAUCUGAAGUAGGUAAUAUGGAUGUAAGAGCUUAAAUUAUUUCAUUUGCCACUAUUUCCUGCCA